rnacentral:rRNA from 1 species
GGGUUGUGAGGUUAAGCGACUAAGCGUACACGGUGGAUGCCCUGGCAGUCAGAGGCGAUGAAGGACGUGCUAAUCUGCGAUAAGCGUCGGUAAGGUGAUAUGAACCGUUAUAACCGGCGAUUUCCGAAUGGGGAAACCCAGUGUGAUUCGUCACACUAUCAUUAACUGAAUCCAUAGGUUAAUGAGGCGAACCGGGGGAACUGAAACAUCUAAGUACCCCGAGGAAAAGAAAUCAACCGAGAUUCCCCCAGUAGCGGCGAGCGAACGGGGAGGAGCCCAGAGCCUGAAUCAGUGUGUGUGUUAGUGGAAGCGUCUGGAAAGGCGCGCGAUACAGGGUGACAGCCCCGUACACAAAAAUGCACAUGCUGUGAGCUCGAUGAGUAGGGCGGGACACGUGGUAUCCUGUCUGAAUAUGGGGGGACCAUCCUCCAAGGCUAAAUACUCCUGACUGACCGAUAGUGAACCAGUACCGUGAGGGAAAGGCGAAAAGAACCCCGGCGAGGGGAGUGAAAAAGAACCUGAAACCGUGUACGUACAAGCAGUGGGAGCACAGAGCAAUCUGUGUGACUGCGUACCUUUUGUAUAAUGGGUCAGCGACUUAUAUUCUGUAGCAAGGUUAACCGAAUAGGGGAGCCGAAGGGAAACCGAGUCUUAACUGGGCGUUAAGUUGCAGGGUAUAGACCCGAAACCCGGUGAUCUAGCCAUGGGCAGGUUGAAGGUUGGGUAACACUAACUGGAGGACCGAACCGACUAAUGUUGAAAAAUUAGCGGAUGACUUGUGGCUGGGGGUGAAAGGCCAAUCAAACCGGGAGAUAGCUGGUUCUCCCCGAAAGCUAUUUAGGUAGCGCCUCGUGAAUUCAUCUCCGGGGGUAGAGCACUGUUUCGGCAAGGGGGUCAUCCCGACUUACCAACCCGAUGCAAACUACGAAUACCGGAGAAUGUUAUCACGGGAGACACACGGCGGGUGCUAACGUCCGUCGUGAAGAGGGAAACAACCCAGACCGCCAGCUAAGGUCCCAAAGUCAUGGUUAAGUGGGAAACGAUGUGGGAAGGCCCAGACAGCCAGGAUGUUGGCUUAGAAGCAGCCAUCAUUUAAAGAAAGCGUAAUAGCUCACUGGUCGAGUCGGCCUGCGCGGAAGAUGUAACGGGGCUAAACCAUGCACCGAAGCUGCGGCAGCGACGCUUAUGCGUUGUUGGGUAGGGGAGCGUUCUGUAAGCCUGUGAAGGUGUACUGUGAGGUACGCUGGAGGUAUCAGAAGUGCGAAUGCUGACAUAAGUAACGAUAAAGCGGGUGAAAAGCCCGCUCGCCGGAAGACCAAGGGUUCCUGUCCAACGUUAAUCGGGGCAGGGUGAGUCGACCCCUAAGGCGAGGCCGAAAGGCGUAGUCGAUGGGAAACAGGUUAAUAUUCCUGUACUUGGUGUUACUGCGAAGGGGGGACGGAGAAGGCUAUGUUGGCCGGGCGACGGUUGUCCCGGUUUAAGCGUGUAGGCUGGUUUUCCAGGCAAAUCCGGAAAAUCAAGGCUGAGGCGUGAUGACGAGGCACUACGGUGCUGAAGCAACAAAUGCCCUGCUUCCAGGAAAAGCCUCUAAGCAUCAGGUAACAUCAAAUCGUACCCCAAACCGACACAGGUGGUCAGGUAGAGAAUACCAAGGCGCUUGAGAGAACUCGGGUGAAGGAACUAGGCAAAAUGGUGCCGUAACUUCGGGAGAAGGCACGCUGAUAUGUAGGUGAAGUCCCUCGCGGAUGGAGCUGAAAUCAGUCGAAGAUACCAGCUGGCUGCAACUGUUUAUUAAAAACACAGCACUGUGCAAACACGAAAGUGGACGUAUACGGUGUGACGCCUGCCCGGUGCCGGAAGGUUAAUUGAUGGGGUCAGCGCAAGCGAAGCUCUUGAUCGAAGCCCCGGUAAACGGCGGCCGUAACUAUAACGGUCCUAAGGUAGCGAAAUUCCUUGUCGGGUAAGUUCCGACCUGCACGAAUGGCGUAAUGAUGGCCAGGCUGUCUCCACCCGAGACUCAGUGAAAUUGAACUCGCUGUGAAGAUGCAGUGUACCCGCGGCAAGACGGAAAGACCCCGUGAACCUUUACUAUAGCUUGACACUGAACAUUGAGCCUUGAUGUGUAGGAUAGGUGGGAGGCUUAGAAGUGUGGACGCCAGUCUGCAUGGAGCCGACCUUGAAAUACCACCCUUUAAUGUUUGAUGUUCUAACGUUGACCCGUGAUCCGGGUUGCGGACAGUGUCUGGUGGGUAGUUUGACUGGGGCGGUCUCCUCCUAAAGAGUAACGGAGGAGCACGAAGGUUGGCUAAUCCUGGUCGGACAUCAGGAGGUUAGUGCAAUGGCAUAAGCCAGCUUGACUGCGAGCGUGACGGCGCGAGCAGGUGCGAAAGCAGGUCAUAGUGAUCCGGUGGUUCUGAAUGGAAGGGCCAUCGCUCAACGGAUAAAAGGUACUCCGGGGAUAACAGGCUGAUACCGCCCAAGAGUUCAUAUCGACGGCGGUGUUUGGCACCUCGAUGUCGGCUCAUCACAUCCUGGGGCUGAAGUAGGUCCCAAGGGUAUGGCUGUUCGCCAUUUAAAGUGGUACGCGAGCUGGGUUUAGAACGUCGUGAGACAGUUCGGUCCCUAUCUGCCGUGGGCGCUGGAGAACUGAGGGGGGCUGCUCCUAGUACGAGAGGACCGGAGUGGACGCAUCACUGGUGUUCGGGUUGUCAUGCCAAUGGCACUGCCCGGUAGCUAAAUGCGGAAGAGAUAAGUGCUGAAAGCAUCUAAGCACGAAACUUGCCCCGAGAUGAGUUCUCCCUGACUCCUUGAGAGUCCUGAAGGAACGUUGAAGACGACGACGUUGAUAGGCCGGGUGUGUAAGCGCAGCGAUGCGUUGAGCUAACCGGUACUAAUGAACCGUGAGGCUUAACCUUACAACGCCGAAG